rnacentral:tRNA from 1 species
UGGCUAGUUACCCAAGUGGCCAAAGGGAACUGACUGUAAAUCAGCUGGCUCAGCCUUCGGGGGUUCGAAUCCCUCACUAGCCACCCA